CCCUUCGGGGGACAAAGUGACAGGUGGUGCAUGGUUGUCGUCAGCUCGUGUCGUGAGAUGUUGGGUUAAGUCCCGCAACGAGCGCAACCCUUAAGCUUAGUUGCCAUCAUUAAGUUGGGCACUCUAAGUUGACUGCCGGUGACAAACCGGAGGAAGGUGGGGAUGACGUCAAAUCAUCAUGCCCCUUAUGAUUUGGGCUACACACGUGCUACAAUGGACAAUACAAAGGGCAGCGAAACCGCGAGGUCAAGCAAAUCCCAUAAAGUUGUUCUCAGUUCGGAUUGUAGUCUGCAACUCGACUACAUGAAGCUGGAAUCGCUAGUAAUCGUAGAUCAGCAUGCUACGGUGAAUACGUUCCCGGGUCUUGUACACACCGCCCGUCACACCACGAGAGUUUGUAACACCCGAAGCCGGUGGAGUAACCUUUUAGGAGCUAGCCGUCGAAGGUGGGACAAAUGAUUGGGGUGAAGUCGUAACAAGGUAGCCGUAUCGGAAGGUGCGGCUGGAUCACCUCCUUUCUAAGGA
rnacentral:rRNA from 2 species